GAUGAACGCUGGCGGCGUGCCUAAUACAUGCAAGUCGAGCGAACGGACGAGAAGCUUGCUUCUCUGAUGUUAGCGGCGGACGGGUGAGUAACACGUGGAUAACCUACCUAUAAGACUGGGAUAACUUCGGGAAACCGUAGCUCAUACCGGAUAAUAUUUUGAACCGCAUGGUUCAACAGUUAAAGACGGUCUUGCUGUCUCUUCUAGAUGGUUCCGCGCUGCAUUAGCUAGUUGGUAAGGUAACGGCUUACCAAGGCAACGAUGCAUAUACGACCUGAGAGGGAGAUCGACCACACUGGAAAUGAGAAACGGAACAAAAUCCUAAGGGAGGCAGCAGUAGGGAAAAUUCAGCAAUGGGCGAAAGCCUGACAGAACAACGACACGUGAGUGAUGAAGGACUUCGGAUCGUAAAACUCUGUUAUUAGGGAAAAACAUAUGUGUAAGUAACUGUGGAAAUAUUGACGGUACCAAAUCAAAAAGACACGGAUAACUAAGUG
rnacentral:rRNA from 1 species